GGAAGUCUCCCAGUUCUGCAGCGGCAGCCCAGCGGGCGGAGCCCGACCUUUGGAACAGGCACAGACCUCACUUUCGUUCCGCUGCUGACAGCACUGAACGGUGUAAACUCAAGUCUCCUUCACAGCUAUUCAUGCAGCUCGGCUUCUGCCCUGUAGACAUUCCCAAGCAGAUGUGUGAGUGCCCAGAGACAAUUAAAUUAUGACUCAUCCUCCAGAACGCCUGCUAAGGCAGGCUGCCUGGCUACCAGUGAAAACAUUUCAGCAGUAGCUGAUCUUUUCCGUUGGUUGAGGACCAAGUCAGACUAGGCAUGGCUUUGAAGUUAUUUCUGUCUCGGUGGAUUAGAGGUAUCAAAAGAAGCAGCUCCGCAAACCUUCCAACAAAUAUUUACAGUUCUGCACUAAACAACCUGCACUAUGCUUUAACCUUUACUGCCUCGUGAAACGCUUGCCAGCCUUCUCCAAACUCAGGCACUUGCCAGAAUUAGGAGAGAGGGCAGAAGCCCAAAGGAAAGGAAGUGCAGAACACCAAGGCAUCCCUUCUUGCUGUGGAGGAAAACAUCGUCUUUCCAUGCUAACCUGGUCGCAGAGGUGAUUUCCCCUUCCACUGUCCCUCCAUCCCACAGUGCCCAGGGCAGACAGGCCUCUGCCCCUCAGCGAUAUUUCUCUGGAUCAGAGGGACACUGGCUGCCCUGAAGCCAACGUUUCUUAAAAGUGCCAAAGGGUGGCUCCGAGCCAGCCAGGAAGGACAUCAAAUGACGGCAAACACUGAGUGUGUGAACACUGACUUUUUUCAGCCCCUGGGACACCGCACAAUGUGCAACCUCUCUCCGUGAAGGUUGGUAACUGGAAAUGCUCAUCAUUGUUUGCUUCUAAAAUGAUGAAGGAAUUAGUUGAAUGGAUGCCUUUAGCCAUCCUUUUCUAUUUUUAAUAUUCCACAUUGUGAACACAAAGAUCUCAAAGUAAUAUCCACAGAGAAUAAAAGGAUGAGAGAAAGAAUUUAGAAGGUGAACUAUCGCAGUCAGUGGGCUGAGAACAUCCAGUCCCUUACUUCUGUCUGUUUCAACCCCCAGGAGCCCGCUAUCCCCAGAGGAGGAAUCGAGCCCUCACAACUGCAAUAAAGGAGACCCCCAAAAGCAGGUCCACCAAUGGGCACUCACUCCAGGGACGUUUGCUUAGCAACAGAAAAGUCACAAAGUCAGGCAGGGCUGGGGAGUCACAGAUACCAUACCGGGACAUAACAACCAGUAGGGCUUUUCUAAGUCCGUACAUGGCAUCCAGGGACCUUCAGAACUUCCGGUGUGAGUCUGAAUCCCCAGAACAAUAACAGAGACAAGAGCCAACAGUACAGGUCACACUGCUAACUUACCGUCUUCUGUUACCUCACACUGGAGCACGGGCCACAGAGCGGCAGGGCAGCUCCAAGGAGACUGAGAGACCGUGGAAGCUCCAAGGUGGGUGAGGAGCAGAUAAGGAGUCUGCAGAACCCACAAUAUCCCCGGAACAACUGGAAAAAGAAAAAAGACAAGAAAAGACAGGUCCUAUGUGAAGAUGCUUUUAAAAAUUGGACUCAAAAAAUAAAAGGAAAGAAGACAGAGCAGAGCCUGGCGUGGGAGAGAAUGGCGAAACCAGAAACCCGGCUGCAGCGAAGGGUAUGAGAGCGGUAUGGGAGCAUGCCUGCAGUGGACAAAGAACACGCAUUACUGAAGGGGCAGGUCCUUGGCUAAAGCGCCUGCCUGCUGCACAGAGCCGCGGGAAGAAGGGGAACUUCAGACACAGCACCGCCCACAGGCUGUGAGCACAAAAGUCAAGCCCAGUGAGCCUUAGGGCAGCCUGCAGCUAGGGCAGGGAGGUGUAUGGUGGACUGGAGCUCACACAAAUCCUGCUUCCCUACUCCCCAUGACCGGCCUAGCCACAAGAUCACCCUGACUCUGGGCAACAGCAGGAUACAGGAGAGAGUCUCAGUGAUGGUCCAGUAUUUAUGGUGCUUCAGAAACUAGAAACCUGGAGCCACGUCAAUGACUCAUUGCAGGUGGCAGAAAAGGAAACGGAACUCGGAGUCUGACCAGUGUGGGUGAUUACGGCAGCCUCUGAGGUCAGCACACAGUACUUUCAGAAUUUAGUGCUAUGCAACUGCUAAGCUGUGCAGUUCUUGUUGAAGGAACCACAAGCAACUAGCUCACUCAUCAUCUACAAUUUUAUGUUCUUUUGGCUCAAAGUUAAAAGAAAAUAUAGAUUACCAGAAGGACUUGAUUAUUGUUCUCUGUCCAAACAUCUUAUAACUUUAGUUUUUCAUCAGUCAAUAAAACUAAUUUACUCUUC